CCUACGGGUGGCAGCAGUCGAGAAUCAUUCACAAUGGGGGAAACCCUGAUGGUGCGACGCCGCGUGGGGGAAUGAAGGUCUUCGGAUUGUAAACCCCUGUCAUGUGGGAGCAAAUUAAAAAGAUAGUACCACAAGAGGACGAGCCGGCUAACUCUGUGCCAGCAGCCGCGGUAAUACAGAGGUCUCAAGCGUUGUUCGGAAUCACUGGGCGUAAAGCGUGCGUAGGCUGUUUCGUAAGUCGUGUGUGAAAGGCGCGGGCUCAACCCGCGGACGGCACAUGAUACUGCGAGACUAGAGUAAGGGAGGGGGAACCGGAAGUCUCGGUGUAGCAGUGAAAUGCGUAGAUAUCGAGAGGAACACUCGUGGCGAAGGCGGGUUCCUGGACAUUAACUGACGCUGAGGCACGAAGGCCAGGGGAGCGAAAGGGAUUAGAUACCCUUGUAGUC
rnacentral:rRNA from 1 species